rnacentral:rRNA from 1 species
GAUGAACGCUGGCGGCGUGCCUAAUACAUGCAAGUCGAGCGAACAGACGAGGAGCUUGCUCCUCUGACGUUAGCGGCGGACGGGUGAGUAACACGUGGAUAACCUACCUAUAAGACUGGGAUAACUUCGGGAAACCGGAGCUAAUACCGGAUAAUAUAUUGAACCGCAUGGUUCAAUAUUGAAAGACGGUUUUGCUGUCACUUCUAGAUGGAUCCGCGCCGCAUUAGCUAGUUGGUAAGGUAACGGCUUACCAAGGCAACGAUGCGUAGCCGACCUGAGAGGGUGAUCGGCCACACUGGAACUGAGACACGGUCCAGACUCCUACGGGAGGCAGCAGUAGGGAAUCUUCCGCAAUGGGCGAAGGCCUGACGGAGCAACGCCGCGUGAGUGAUGAAGGUCUUCGGAUCGUAAAACUCUGUUAUUAGGGAAGAACAAAUGUGUAAGUAACUAUGCACGUCUUGACGGUACCUAAUCAGAAAGCCACGGCUAACUACGUG